rnacentral:tRNA from 2 species
GGCUCAUUAGCUCAACUGAAUAGAGCAUCUGACUACGGAUCAGAAGGUUAGGGGUUUGAAUCCCUUAUGAGUCACUA